rnacentral:tRNA from 1 species
GGGUCGAUGCCCGAGUGGUUAAUGGGGGUGGACUGUAAAUCCACUGAUUAUAUCUACGCUAGUUCGAAUCUAGCUCGGCCCA